GUUAAGAUGGCAGGGCCCGGCAACUGCAUAAAACUUAAAACUUUAUACCCAGAGGUUCAACUCCUCUUCUUAACA
ensembl:Mt_tRNA